rnacentral:misc_RNA from 1 species
GAUGAAGAACGCAGCGAAAUGCGAUAAGUAAUGUGAAUUGCAGAAUUCAGUGAAUCAUCGAAUCUUUGAACGCAUCUUGCGCUCCUUGGUAUUCUGAGGAGCAUGCCUGUUUGAGUGUCAUUAAAUUCUCAACUACACUGACUUUGAAUUGGUGUGGCUUGGAUUUGGGGGGAAAAUUGUUGUGGGCUUUUUGUAUAGUCUGCUCCCCUGAAAUUGAUUAGCGGUACCUUUGUGGAACUGUCUACAGGUGUGAUAAUUAUCUACAUCUUAGACAUCUGCUGGAAUGCUGCUCUCUAGACCUUACUUGUAUUGACAAUCUUGACCUCAAAUCAGGUAGGACUACCCGCUGAACUUAAGCAUAUCAAUAAGCGGAGGA